GCUUAUAGCUUAAUUGGUUAAAGCACACCGCUCAUAACGGUGCAAAUGUAGGUUCAAGUCCUACUUAG
rnacentral:tRNA from 1 species